rnacentral:rRNA from 1 species
AUGGAGGUGCAGGCCCAAGUACUUCGAAUCAUCAACAAGAAAUCCAAGAAAGAACAGCGAAGGAAAAACGUGACAAGAAAAGUGUUUUCUCGACUCGAGAUGUUAGAAGGUGCUAAAUCAAUAGGUGCCGGAGCUGCUACAAUUGCUUUAGCCGGAGCUGCUGUCGGUAUUGGAAACGUCCUCAGUUCUUUGAUUCAUUCCGUGGCGCGAAAUCCAUCAUUGGCUAAACAAUCAUUUGGUUAUGCCAUUUUGGGCUUUGCUCCCACCGAAGCUAUUGCAUUGUUUGCCCCAAUGAUGGCCUUUCUGAUCUCAUUCGUUUUCCGAUCGCAUAAAAAGUCAUGA